rnacentral:ncRNA from 1 species
UGAAAGACCAUGAUAAGGAAGAGUAAAUAAUAUACUGCUCUAAGAGAGAAGAACUCACCGGCUGAAAGGUUCUUUGGGUAAGGAUUGUUGAAAACCACCUUUGAGUUGUAAACUGAAGUUUAGUAAGUAUUACCGUAAGCCUGCGUUAAAGGUCUAGAGAUAAUAGCUUUUAUAUUGGUCUAGCUACCAAUAGUUUAUUUGCUAUUAAAUUUGGGUGGAACCGCGAUCUACACUCGUCCCAUGU